rnacentral:rRNA from 1 species
GAUGAACGCUGGCGGCGUGCCUAAUACAUGCAAGUCGAGCGAACAGACGAGGAGCUUGCUCCUUUGACGUUAGCGGCGGACGGGUGAGUAACACGUGGGUAACCUACCUAUAAGACUGGGAUAACUUCGGGAAACCGGAGCUAAUACCGGAUAAUAUUUCGAACCGCAUGGUUCGAUAGUGAAAGAUGGCUUUGCUAUCACUUAUAGAUGGACCUGCGCCGUAUUAGCUAGUUGGUAAGGUAACGGCUUACCAAGGCAACGAUACGUAGCCGACCUGAGAGGGUGAUCGGCCACACUGGAACUGAGACACGGUCCAGACUCCUACGGGAGGCAGCAGUAGGGAAUCUUCCGCAAUGGGCGAAAGCCUGACGGAGCAACGCCGCGUGAGUGAUGGAGGUCUUCGGAUCGUAAAACUCUGUUAUUAGGGAAGAACAAACGUGUAAGUAACUGUGCACGUCUUGACGGUACCUAAUCAGAAAGCCACGGCUAACUACGUG